ensembl:lncRNA
GGAAGCAUCUCAGGUUUUAUGUCUGGAUCUCAUUUUCAAAAUAAUUGUUUAUGAAGUUGACAAAUGAUGUUCAUCAUGAAGGGGAUGCUUGGCCAGCCAGUGGCAUGAAAAUAGGACCUAUCGUACUGGUUCAGCAGACUCUUCCAGGUAUUUCUUGAGGACUGAGAUUGCCCAAGAUGUUCAGCUCCAGGCCUUCACCAGCAAUGCUAGAAACUUCCUGAAGCUCCUGUCCUGUACUCCCUUGGUGCUUGGCUGAGGGCCACCAUCAUCACAAGGCUGAGUAGCUGGCUCAGCAGCUCAGCCUUAGACCAGCUGACUCCUCCCAAUGGAUGAUCUGACAGUUUCAACCAUGCAAACCAAAGUUGUUUGGAGAACUGCGUCUGUGCUCAGGAGAAGUGUGUGCUGAACUGCAACAGAUGUACUCUAUAUGUUUUCCGUGUCAUAAUGCAAUGCCAUGGCUGUGGUUCUUCAUCCUUGAGCUCCCAAGUGGUCUCUGCGCUUACACAAGAAGGCAUUUAGUGAGGUGACUGUUUGUUUAAGAACAGAGGCCUGAUCUUCAAAGCAGAUGUCCGAAACCGAAAUUGAAAUGUUAAUCAUGAAUGACAACAAAAGAUAUGUUAAAAAUUAACUUCAGAAAUACAGAAAAGUGUCUGUUCUUCUACUUCGCUCUUAUUAGAUGCAAGAGACUAGAGCUUUCCACAACCCCAGCCAUAGCAGUGGGGGCUUUACGCUCCUGCUGACCUAAAGUAAUCUUAACUUGGCUCUCUAAUGUGGUCUUCUAAUGGGAAAAAUGCAUGUCUGCAUUUUAUACAACUUCAUGUUCUUAUGCGUGCUGUUCAAAUUGAUGGUUGAUGUCCUUUUUUUUUUUUUCUGUAGGCCCUCUUUUCUUUGUAUACCCUCAGGUUCUGAGUUCUUUGGGAAAGGAACAAGAUAUUUGAGAACUUACAUUGUAUUAACUUGUAGGAUUCAGAUUUAAUAGUGAGCAGAUUUAAUUUCUAAUCUUUAACACCAGUUGGAGCCAGAGAGCUGGUCAAGUUUUUAGAAGCAAGCUUACCUGCAUGAGCUUACCUGUUCAGCUGUCAACCACAAGAUGCAGUCACAAGCUGGUCUUUGUGGCUCACCCAGACACCUUUCCUUCCAUUUCUUCCACCUUUCAGCUGGCUAUUAUGCAGCUGUGAUGUUGAGAGGUGUCACUACCAGCUGUUCCGCUUUGUAGCUCCUGGGCUCUGUUUUCCUGGUAACACCAAUUAUGCAGUGUCUUGGGGAAAAAUUACUUUAAUGAUCUAUGCUCUUUGCUUGAAGCAAAUGAUUUAUGUUAGUUUAUGUGAACUUUUACAAAUAAAUAUAUGCAUGCAUAUACACAUUUCUUAAAUAAAGAUUGAGAAUACCAGGCAGCUUGACUUGGUAAGUGGCAUAAUUUGACAACUGUAAUUUAGUUUUCAUGAGUUUUGUGUUCUUAUGCUCACAAAAUUGUUAAGGUUGGGGAAGACCUCUAGAUCAUCCAGACCAGCCAUC